UACAGAGGUCCCGAGCGUUGUUCGGAUUUAUUGGGCGUAAAGGGUGCGUAGGCGGCGGAGUAAGUUGGGUGUGAAAUCCCGGGGCUUAACCUCGGAAUGGCAUUCAAUACUGCUUCGCUAGAGUACUGGAGAGGAGGCUGGAAUUUACGGUGUAGCAGUGAAAUGCGUAGAUAUCGUAAGGAAGGCCGGUGGCGAAAGCGAGCCUCUGGACAGUUACUGACGCUGAUGCACGAAGGCCAGGGAAGCAAACGGG
rnacentral:rRNA from 1 species